UACGUAGGGGGCAAGCGUUGUCCGGAUUUAUUGGGCGUAAAGAGCGUGUAGGCGGUUCGGUAGGUCCGUUGCGAAAACUCGAGGCUCAACCUCGAGACGCCGAUGGAAACCAUCGAACUAGAGUCCGGAAGAGGAGAGUGGAAUUCCUGGUGUAGCGGUGAAAUGCGCAGAUAUCAGGAAGAACACCCGUGGCUAAGGCGGCUCUCUGGGACGGUACUGACGCUGAGACGCGAAAGCGUGGGGAGCGAACAGG
rnacentral:rRNA from 1 species